rnacentral:rRNA from 1 species
UUGAUCCUGGCUCAGAAUCAACGCUGGCGGCGUGCCUAACACAUGCAAGUCGAACGAGAAAGUGGAGCAAUCCAUGAGUAAAGUGGCGACCGGGUGAGUUACACGUGACUAACCUACCUUCGAGUGGGGGAUAACAUCGGGAAACCGAUUCUAAUACCGCAUAACAUCGCAAGAUCAAAGCAGCAAUGCGCUGGAAGAGUGGGUCGCGGCUGAUUAGCUAGUUGGCGGGGUAACGGCCCACCAAGGCGAUGAUCGGUAGCCGGCCUGAGAGGGCGCACGGCCACACUGGAACUGAAACAUGGUCCAGACUCCUACGGGAGGCAGCAGUGGGGAAUUUUGCGCAAUGGGGUAAACCCUGACGCAGCAACGCCGCGUGGAGGAUGAAGCCCCUUGGGGUGUUAACUCCUUUCGACCAAGACGAUAAUGACGGUACUGGUGGAAGAAGCACCUGCUAACCCUGUGCCAGCAGCCGCGGUAAUU